rnacentral:lncRNA from 1 species
GAAAGUGAAUUACAGUUACAGUAUGAGUGUUAUAUAAUAGCGUAAAAUGUUAUGAUUCUCAUUGAUUUCAAUGAUUAUGAUUCUGUAUAUGUGAUGUGGCUGACAUUAGGGAACCCAUACUGAGUCGAUGAAAUAUUUGACUCACCCAUUUGUGUGUUCAUUGUGUGAUAAGAUGGAACCAAUGAAAAGAUUCACGCCGGGGAAGGGGCGAAGUUCAUUGAGUUUUGUUUUGUUGUUUUGUUAAACUAUAUCUGUAAUAGAGAUUAUUGUUUAAGUGGAUUAUGGAAUAUGCAUAUUUUAGAUAUUGAUAUUUAAACUUUUAAG